AAAUUUGAAAGCUGGCCUUCUGGUCCGCAUUGUAAUUUGUAGAGGAUGCUUUUAGGCAGCCGCCGGUCUAAGUUCCUUGGAACAGGACGUCAUAGAGGGUGAGAAUCCCGUAUGUGACCGGCUCUGGCACCUUCUGUAAAGCUCCUUCGACGAGUCGAGUUGUUUGGGAAUGCAGCUCUAAAUGGGAGGUAAAUUUCUUCUAAAGCUAAAUACUGGCGAGAGACCGAUAGCGCACAAGUAGAGUGAUCGAAAGAUGAAAAGCACUUUGGAAAGAGAGUUAAAAAGCACGUGAAAUUGUUGAAAGGGAAGCGCUUGCAAUCAGACUUGGCUUCGGUUGUUCAACAGGUCUUCUGACCUGCCUAUUCAAUCGUUGCCAGGCCAGCAUCAGUUUCGGCGGCCGGAUAAAGGCCCUGGGAAUGUGGCUGUUCCUUCGGGGACAGUGUUAUAGCCCAGGGUGUAAUACGGCCAGCUGGGACUGAGGUCCGCGCUUCGGCUAGGAUGCUGGCGUAAUGGUUGUAAGCGGCCCGUCUUGAAACACGGACCAAGGAGUCUAACAUCUAUGCGAGUGUUAGGGUGUCAAACCCUUACGCGUAAUGAAAGUGAACGGAGGUGAGAACCCGCAAGGGCGCAUCAUCGACCGAUCCUGAUGUCUUCGG
rnacentral:rRNA from 1 species